GAUGAACGCUGGCGGCGUGCCUAAUACAUGCAAGUCGAGCGAACAGACGAGGAGCUUGCUCCUCUGACGUUAGCGGCGGACGGGUGAGUAACACGUGGAUAACCUACCUAUAAGACUGGGAUAACUUCGGGAAACCGGAGCUAAUACCGGAUAAUAUAUUGAACCGCAUGGUUCAAUAGUGAAAGACGGUUUUGCUGUCACUUAUAGAUGGAUCCGCGCCGCAUUAGCUAGUUGGUAAGGUAACGGCUUACCAAGGCGACGAUGCGUAGCCGACCUGAGAGGGUGAUCGGCCACACUGGAACGAAGUCACGGUCCAGACUCCUACGGGAGGCAGCAGUAGGGAAUCUUCCGCAAUGGGCGAAAGCCUGACGGAGCAACGCCGCGUGAGUGAUGAAGGUCUUCGGAUCGUAAAACUCUGUUAUUAGGGAAGAACAAAUGUGUAAGUAACUAUGCACGUCUUGACGGUACCUAAUCAGAAAGCCACGGCUAACUACGUG
rnacentral:rRNA from 1 species